GAGGGCGACACCGCCCCACAGGAGAAGAAUCCCAUGGACAGAGCAGCCUGGUGGGCUAUAGCCCAUAAGGUUGCAAAGAGUCGGACACAACUGAAGCGACUUAGAACCCACACACACAACUUAAAAGUCACGUGGGAAAAGGAGAAUGCUUCACGAGUAUCGUCCCGGCUGCCACUGUUGACAGUGAACUCGUGACCCCAGACCGUUGCUGCCGCCAUUGCUACUGCAGCUUGGAGCAUAUGAUCUGCUUGGAGAGUCUCCGAAUAUUUGGAGAAAUAAUCUCUCUUGAGAAUACACCAGUGUUGAAAAUUUCCCCAAGGAUGAAGCUUCAGACAGUUGGAGAAACUGGAAAACACAUACAUGCAAGUACUCACAUCUUAUCAGCUUAACCUCCUUUGUGUGCAUGGCUCAGCCAAGGGCAGAAAGGCAGAGCACAGCCCUUUCUGGGAGGCAGAUACAGGGCCCCCCAGCCCUGGCUGGCUCUAGAUCUGACCCCCAGACUUUCCUCACGGGGGGCAGGGAAGCCUGCCUGUAUCACAUAUUUUAUUUAGAAGGUCAGUUGCAACAAGGAAGAAAAGCUGAAAUAAACUGCUUUCUGCAAUUAUUAUUAUUUUUUUUUUGCAACAACUUUCACAUCCAAG
ensembl:lncRNA